ACUGCUAGGCGAAGCAGUAAGAGGACUGCACCCUAGAUGGCGAGAGUCCAAUAGCCGAAAGCAUCACUAGCUUAUGCUCUGACCCGAGUAGCAUGGGGCACGUGGAAUCCUGUGUGAAUCAGCAAGGACCACCUUGCAGGGCUAAAUACUCCUGGGUGACCGAUAGCGAAGUAUUAGGGAGAGGAUGGUU